UUAUUUGUUUCUUUUUAAGAGAGUGUUAAUUCUUAAGGUUUUGGUAGAAACAUUAAGGGAGCUGUAUCUUAAGAUUUUGAAGCAUAAAUCUUAAGAGAGAUUAUAAGGUUAAACCUUGUCCUCAAAGGUUUCCAAAUUAGUGAAUUUGAGAAAAUCAUUAGUUAUAUUAAGCUAAGGUGGAGUAGGCAAUUGAGGCCAAACCACUGUAAAUCCUUAGAUUCUUUGUUGCAUAUUUUUCAUUUCUUCCACCACAAUUUUUUAAAGGUCAAUUCAACCUCCCUAUUGGCGAUCUCAAGUUGAUCCUUCUAAGCUAACAGAAACUAAAAGUCACUUUGUCCAGUCAAAUUAAUGAACUGCCACCCACCACUUCCCGAAAACACACUAUUUUCCUGUCGGUUGCAGUUCUCCGGAGAUCAUUGAUGCUACGCAGAAACACCAUCUAGCAUUUUCUCCAGUUACUUGAAAUACUCUAAAUCUCUCAGUUGGGUUCCUGCUCCUGUUGCCUUCCCGAUCCCAAUGAAACAACGGCGUAAGGCGGUACAACCCGUUCCAGGCAAAUCUCAUCUUCCCUCUUUAAGCUUUUUGUGGCGAUUAUGUGGGUCGUUUGGUUUGCCCGUCUUGAAAUAUGCCUAAAUCGAAUCUUGGGAAGUCAAUUCUUGUUAUGGUGUAUAUCUCUCUAAUAGAAGCUGCUAUUUUUGAAUUGUCUUCAACAUUGGACUGGCAUUUUUUAAUAAUCGUUAACGCAUCUCCUUCAAUUUCAACUUCAUCCACACCCAUGCCAAUCCCCAACCUAACUGCUUGAGAACAUGCACAAGCCUCCGCGGCAAACGGAGAGGCUAUCCGAUUCUCUAAAAUUGAUUUGGAUACUAAAACUUUCCCCCUAUCAUUUCUAGCCACCAACCUCAAAGCAGAUCUGAAAUGUCGUUGGCUAAAAGCCGCAUCAAAAUUUAUGCGAACGAUUUGGUUCUCUGGGGGUCUCUAUUCAAGAGCAGAAAGGUGUUUGAUAACCCAAAGUGUGUAACAGAACAUUUGACACUGGCUACUCGACCCAUCUUCAAUGACCUAGGUGAGCCACUCCCAAUUCCCCAAAUUGGGUUUAGAUAUCACCCAUGCUAGAUUUAAAUGAGUCCAUACUUCUGUUGAAACAGGGCAUUCCCGAAAUACAUGUGCAGUAGUUUACACACCUACACCACACCUUUGGCAGAUUGUACUCGACCCUAGUCGUCUGUAAUGUAGAUUAACUAGGGUAGGCACAAAGUUCCAAGAGACUUUUCAAGUUGUAAUUUUUUAUUUUGCUGGGAGAUUAAAGCUCCACAAUUUUUUGUAAAAGUGUUUUGCUGGGAGAUUAAACAUAAAUAUUUAAUUA